rnacentral:rRNA from 1 species
UUUUUACGGGAGGCAGCAGUGAGGAAUAUUGGUCAAUGGACGAUAGUCUGAACCAGCCAAGUAGCGUGCAGGAUGACGGCCCUAUGGGUUGUAAACUGCUUUUAUACGGGAAUAAAGUCACUCACGUGUGAGUUUUUGCAUGUACCGUAUGAAUAAGGACCGGCUAAUUCCGUGCCAGCAGCCGCGGUAAUAAAA